rnacentral:rRNA from 1 species
CUCCUACGGGAGGCAGCAGUGGGGAAUUUUGGACAAUGGGGGAAACCCUGAUCCAGCCAUGCCGCGUGCGUGAUGAAGGCCUUCGGGUUGUAAACUGCUUUUGUCCGGAACGAAAUCGCCUUUGAUAAUACCGAGGGUUAAUGACGGUACCGGAAGAAUAAGGACCGGCUAACUACGUGCCAGCAGCCGCGGUAAUACGUAGGGUGCAAGCGUUAAUCGGAAUUACUGGGCGUAAAGCGUGCGCAGGCGGUUGUGCAAGACCGAUGUGAAAUCCCCGGGCUCAACCUGGGAACUGCAUUGGUGACUGCAUAGCUAGAGUGUGGCAGAGGGGGAUGGAAUUCCGCGUGUAGCAGUGAAAUGCGUAGAUAUGCGGAGGAACACCGAUGGCGAAGGCAAUCCCCUGGACCUGUACUGACGCUCAUGCACGAAAGCGUGGGGAGCAAACAGGAUUAGAUACCCUGGUAGUCCACGCCCUAAACGAUGUCAACUGGUUGUUGGGGCUUCACUGACUCAGUAACGAAGCUAACGCGUGAAGUUGACCGCCUGGGGAGUACGGCGCAGGUUGAAACUCAAAGGAAUUGACGG